rnacentral:lncRNA from 1 species
GGACAAGUCAGCCAGCCAGCCCCCAGAAUAGUCUCCGGUGCGUUAAACACUGACACUGUGUCAGAGCCUGUGAAUGACCUAAUCAGUGUUUCUUUUGUGAUCAACCAUUGAGAUUCAAGGAGGCCUGUGUUCCUAACGGUCCAUUCUUCUCUCUGGAAUUGAGCGCAAUCUGAAUCCUCUACCUUGCUCUCUGAAGAGGGCACUUGGUCACCAACACCUUAUGUAAGGAGUCAAAAGCAUGGGAGUGGUGUAAGCAUAGGCUAAACAUGAUUCCCAGUUCCCACCAUAUUUCCUUUCUCUCACCCCUUAUCUUUUAAUCCAUACGGCAGAGUGAAGAGUACACACUGUCUUCAAAGAGAAGGGUAAAGAAUUGGAUGGCAGCCCGACUCUCUCUUCCCAGGUCAAAGAGGUUGUUAGUUGUUGCUAUGCAGAGAUAGACUGCCACCUACUGGACUGGUCUGGUCACAGCUGUAAUUUUCCUUUCUAGCAUUAGAGGGCGCUUGUCAAACUACUGAACAUAGCUUUUUACAAUGAGGCAAAGUGAUCAGACUUUCUAAACAGAAAAAGUUGCACAUACAUAAAGUUCUCAAAUCUCUCCAGUUAAAAACAUUUAAUCACACAGUUCAACACAGACCACAGCGAUAAAGGAGUGAGAAAUGGGUUGGGAAGUAACACUCUUAGGAAGGAAGAGAGGGCCAAUCAUAUUCACCAUAAUGAAUCUAUCACUGUCACUCACCGCUACUGUCAACUAUUCAUGCACAUCAACACUGACAAAAACAAAUGGGCAGAUUCACACUAAUUUACUCACACUGAAAAUUAACAAUGAAAAAGGCAUUAAUUCCAGGGAUUUUUUUUAGGACCAAAGAUCUUGUCAAGUGGUUAAUUAAUCUGAUUUUUUAGGACUAAAUGAUAACAUUUUAGUUCCUUAUAUAGGACAGAAUGCAUUAAAUCUCCACUUGUUCCAAACUAACAGAUGACCAAUGAGAUUACUGAUAUUGUUUGCAGUCAAUCAAUGGUAAAUGAAUCUAUGCGGUACAGACUGGACCAUGCUACUGUGUACUGCUGCCAGACAGACAUCCCUGGAUCGAGAUUAAAGCUCUUAGUCACAUCCAUUCUCCAUCUGAUAAGACUAGGCCCGUCUCACUGUCCCUCACUCUAAAUAAAUAUCUAGAAAUCUAUCGCUAGCUAUAUUUGUGUGCAUAUUGGUUACCCAUAAAGGAGCAGGAGGAAGUUACCCCCUAGACACUGAUCUAAGGUCAAUUGUACAUUUCUUCCAUCUAAUAGGAUUGGAGAAGCUGGUUGAAGGAUGAGCUGAUCCCAGAUCUGUGCUUACUGGGCAACUUCUAACCCGGUGAAGGUAUAUAUACACACCUAGGCCUAUAUGUGAAUAUGUACAAACAGCGCAGCAGUUAUUCUUCUAUGUUCUAGGUAUGUCCAGCAGGUGUGCAUCAUCUGAGCUUGGGGAAGAUCCUGAUGAAGAGGAUCAUACUGAUGAAAGUGAAGGAGACCAGGAUGAGCAUCAGCCACAGGGUCCAGUUGACCGACUUCUUGGUGUGCUGCUCCAAACGCUCCGACUCAACCUUCAGCUUCUCGAAGUUGGUGUCUGCCUGCCGCAUAGACUGGGUCAGGGUCUGAGUGAGAGAGGAGAAAAACAUACCUAUUAGAUCAGAUCCUCUGCUGUGGCUGAAGGAUAGACUAGGUCAGAGAGACAGGAUACUAUGAAUAUUUCUGCUGUGGCUGAAGGAUAGACUAGGUCAGAGAGACAGGAUACUAUGAAUAUUUCUGCUGUGGCUGAAGGAUAGACUGGGUCAGAGAGACAGGAUACUAUGAAUAUUUCUGCUGUGGCUGAAGGAUAGACUGGGUCAGAGAGACAGGAUACUAUGAAUAUUUCUGCUGUGGCUGAAGGAUAGACUGGG